rnacentral:rRNA from 1 species
GACACCUUAAUCCAACAUCGAGGUCGCAAACCCUUCUUUCAAUGUGAACUCUCCAGAAAGAUUACGCUGUUAUCCCUGUGGUAACUUUUUCCGAUAAUCAGCAAUGCUGGAUCACUUGUUAGUAAACCAAAAUUCUACAAAUUAACAGAGAAGCUUUUCAUGUUCCCUAGUCACCCCAACUAAAGAUGUAAGAAUAAAUUUAAAAUCCUCUAUUCUAAUAGAAACAGCCCCUUUAUUCCACACUAAAGCUCAACAGGGUCUUCUCGUCCCUCAGCUAAAUCUAAGCCUUUUCACUUAGAAGUUAAUUUUUAAAUAUUCCAGGAGAGACAGCUCAGCCCUCGUCAAACCAUUCAUACCAGCCUCCAAUUAAAAGGCAAGUGAUUGUGCUACCUUUGCACGGUCAGUGUACCGCGGCCGUUU